UGCCAGCAGCCGCGGUAGUACGGCGGGGGUUAGCGUUGUUCGGAAUUACUGGGCGUAAAGCGCACGUAGGCGGAUUAGAAAGUUAGAGGUGAAAUCCCGGGGCUCAACCCCGGAACUGCCUUUAAAACUACUAAUCUUGAGUUCGGAAGAGGUGAGUGGAAUUCCUAGUGUAGAGGUGAAAUUCGUAGAUAUUAGGAAGAACAUCAGUGGCGAAGGCGACUCACUGGUCCGAUACUGACGCUGAGGUGCGAAAGCGUGGGGAGCAAACAGGAUUAGAUA
rnacentral:rRNA from 1 species